rnacentral:rRNA from 1 species
UACGAAGGGUGCAACCGUUGCUCGGAAUCAUUGGGCGUAAAGCGCACGUAGGCGGCUUGCCAAGUCGGACGUGAAAUCCCUCAGCUCAACUGAGGACGUGCAUCCGAAACUGGCGAGCUUGAGUACUGAAGAGGAUCGCGGAAUUCCCGGUGUAGAGGUGAAAUUCGUAGAUAUCGGGAGGAACACCAGUGGCGAAGGCUGCGAUCUCGGCAGAUACUGACGCUGAGGUGCGAAAGCGUGGGGAGCAAACAGG